rnacentral:rRNA from 1 species
CCUACGGGAGGCAGCAGUGGGGGAUAUUGCACAAUGGGGGGAACCCUGAUGCAGCGACGCCGCGUGGGUGAAGAAGCGCCUCGGCGCGUAAAGCCCUGUCAGCAGGGAAGAAAAUGACGGUACCUGAAGAAGAAGCCCCGGCUAACUACGUGCCAGCAGCCGCGGGAAUACGUAGGGGGCAAGCGUUAUCCGGAUUUACUGGGUGUAAAGGGGGCGCAGACGGCGAUGCAAGCCAGGAGUGAAAGCCCGGGGCCCAACCCCGGUACUGCUCUUGGAACUGCGUGGCUGGAGUGCAGGAGGGGCAGGCGGAAUUCCUGGUGUAGCGGUGAAAUGCGUAGAUAUCAGGAGGAACACCGGUGGCGAAGGCGGCCUGCUGGACUGCAACUGACGUUGAGGCCCGAAAGCGUGGGGAGCAAACAGGAUUAGAUACCCCAGUAGUC